rnacentral:rRNA from 1 species
UACGGGAGGCAGCAGUGGGGAAUAUUGCACAAUGGGCGCAAGCCUGAUGCAGCCAUGCCGCGUGUAUGAAGAAGGCCUUCGGGUUGUAAAGUACUUUUCAGUCGUGAGGAAGGUGUUAAGGUUAAUAACCUUAGCAAUUGACGUUAGCGACAGAAGAAGCACCGGCUAACUCCGUGCCAGCAGCCGCGGUAAUACGGAGGGUGCGAGCGUUAAUCGGAAUUACUGGGCGUAAAGGGCACGCAGGCGGUUAAUUAAGUUGGAUGUGAAAUCCCCGGGCUUAACCUGGGAAUGGCAUUCAAGACUGGUUAGCUAGAGUCUUGUAGAGGGGGUAGAAUUCCAUGUGUAGCGGUGAAAUGCGUAGAGAUGUGGAGGAAUACCGGUGGCGAAGGCGGCCCCUGGACAAAGACUGACGCUCAUGUGCGAAAGCGUGGGGAGCGAAACAGGGAUUAGAUACC